rnacentral:rRNA from 1 species
GCCGGAUUAGCUAGUUGGUGGGGUAAUGGCCUACCAAGGCAACGAUCCGUAGCUGGUCUGAGAGGACGACCAGCCACACUGGGACUGAGACACGGCCCAGACUCCUACGGGAGGCAGCAGUGGGGAAUUUUGGACAAUGGGGGCAACCCUGAUCCAGCCAUGCCGCGUGUGUGAAGAAGGCCUUCGGGUUGUAAAGCACUUUCGGACGGAACGAAAUCGCGCGGGCGAAUAUCCCGCGUGGAUGACGGUACCGUAAGAAGAAGCACCGGCUAACUACGUGCCAGCAGCCGCGGUAAUACGUAGGGUGCGAGCGUUAAUCGGAAUUACUGGGCGUAAAGUGUGCGCAGGCGGCGUCGCAAGUCGAGUGUGAAAGCCCCGAGCUUAACUUGGGAAUUGCGCUCGAAACUACGGUGCUGGAGUAUGGCAGAGGAAGGUGGAAUUCCGCGUGUAGCGGUGAAAUGCGUAGAGAUGUGGAGGAACACCGAUGGCGAAGGCAGCCUUCUGG